UACGGAGGGGGCUAGCGUUGUUCGGAAUUACUGGGCGUAAAGCGUACGUAGGCGGCUUUGUAAGUUAGAGGUGAAAGCCCGGGGCUUAACUCCGGAAUUGCCUUUAAGACUGCAUCGCUUGAAUCCGGGAGAGGUGAGUGGAAUUCCGAGUGUAGAGGUGAAAUCGUAGAUAUCGGAAGAACACCAGUGGCGAAGGCGGCUCACUGGACCGGUAUUGACGCUGAGGUGCGAAAGCCGUGGGGAGCAAACAGG
rnacentral:rRNA from 1 species